CUUGCCGAGGACUUUGUCCACCAAGUGAUGAAAGCAUGCAAAUGCCUCCGAAUCAAAGAUGAGGAAAACAAAAGCUCAAAAACUAUCUGAGAGUCAGAAAGUAAGAAGGAGCUUAGAAAGGCUUAACACUUUCCAUGCUUCUGCCUGGCUUCAGAGCCCAUGCACUCUGCCUUACCAUGGCAGGUGAAAGAUGGCUCCAAAUUCUUAGGUACAUCUCCUGCCAAAAGACCCCUCCUAUGGGUUCUGUGACUACUUCAAUGAAAAGAAUAAGGCAGAAGAGAUGAUGAGAACUUAAAAUCUGGCAGUGUCCAUUUCCUGUCUUUUGAAACUUUCUGUUAAAGGCCUGAGCCACGUAUGAAGUUGAAUCUUCACACCAUGCUAGAGAAGCCACAUAUUAUUGUUCUGGUCAACAAUCCCAGCUGACCCAACCAGACAGUGUAUCUUCACCAGCAGAACACCAUUCAGCAACCCUUGUCGGCAUCAUGUGGGGCAGAAGAACCACCCAGCUGAGCCUUAUCCAAAUUCCUGACCACAAAAUCAUAAGAGAGAAUGACUUCUUUCAUAUCGCUGAAUGCAGCAACAUGUUUGGCCAAGUUCAUGUCCAAGGGAGGAGAACCUUCAGCUUGCACCAAGUCCUGGUCGUUGGAGAAGCCAUGAGACCAGACCUUGUGUAAAGCAGCUGAUUCUGCCAUGGGGGAAAUGCCUUUUUGUUUACUGAGCUUCUCCUAUGCAUGCCUUGCUCCACUUCCCUCUAGAAGCCUGAGAUAUUGGGAAUAAGAGUCUCAGCCUCCAAGAGACGGAGAACAUAUCAAGAGAGUCUGGAUUUCUGGGGUGAUUAAGUUCACUUGAUUCAUUAGCCUAAGUGCUCAAGUAAAUUUCAAAUCACAGUGUUAUGUGUGAUUGUCCACGUCCUUCCUCCAAACACUCCCCACCUCCCACCCAAGGGCCCAUGUAACUUGCUAUUGAGAACCUUUGAUUUCUUAGGUAUUUGGGUGAAAGGAUUUUGUUGUCUGUCCUGAAGAAAAUAGUGGCAAUUUGUACUCAGCUGUUGAAUAAAGGAAAUCACGACAUA
rnacentral:lncRNA from 1 species